GGCUGAAUGAUGGCUCCUCAAAAGAUAUUCACAUCCUAAUCUCUGAAAAAUGCAAAUGUCAUUAUAAGGCCAAAAUGGAUUUUGCAGAUAAGGCUCUUGAGAUGGAUCGAUUAUCCUGAAUGAUCUGAGUAGACUCUAAAUAUAAUCAGCCAUGUCCUUAUAAGAGGAAGGAAGGGGGAAUUUUGGCCCUACAGAAGAGAAGACAAUGUGACCACAUAAGGAGGGACUGGAAUGAUAAGACCUCAAAUCAGGAACUGCCAGCAGAAACCGGAAACUGGAAGAGGCAAAGAAUGGAUUUCCCCUUAGAACCCCUAAAGGGCUACAGUUAAUUACAAGAAGAGACAGAUGCUGAGCAGCCUAAGGCUUUCUCUGCCACCAUGGUGAGGCUGAACUGUACUCAACAAGCAGGUAGUGAGUGAAGACAAAUGCUGUUUGACAAGGCAGCAUAUCCCAGCACCCAGGGAUAGAAAACAGACAGGGCACUCUGUGUUCCCAAGCAAAGACAGAGAAAUAUCAAGCAGAUUGUUUCUGACAGAAAUCAUAUCACAGCCGCACUUCCAGACAAAGUCCGUGUGAAUGAAAUGAUACACUUUCUGUUUUCCAUCUUCCCCUUUAACAAAAAUGUUUCAUCAUCAAACUCUGUUGCCUCAGGGGAAAUACAUCAGAAUACAGAAGACAAAUUCCUAAACUAAUCGAUGCCCUCAGUCUUUAGAGAAAAUAUUUCCAGGCCAGAGAAAAGGAGGAAGAGAGGGAAGGAAGGAGGGAGUGGAGAUACAGAAAGUGAAAAAGAGAAGGAAUAAGUAUUGCACUGAAAUGCUGGCUUAAAUGACAAUGAAAUGGGUAACUUGUUUUAGGUUUUGGAAGCUUUGUGUUCUAAAGUCAAACAAAAGUUUAAAUGAAAGCAUUCUGUCAAAUCCCUAA